GGAUCUCCUUGCAGUCCAAGGGACUCUCAAGAGUCUUCUCACCACAGUUCAAAAGCAUCAAUUCUUUGGCGCUCAGCUUUCUUCACAGUCCAACUCUCACAUCCAUACAUGACCACUGGAAAUGUGGCCUAUUUUCAUGAUAAAGACCCAUUGCAAGAGACUUGAAAAAAAAAACAAAAACAGAUUUAUUUUAAAGAUCGUGCGUUUUAGCAUCUUCAUGAAAAGAAGUGUUGCUGCAUGACCUCUAGAAAAAAAUCAAACUAUAAUAAUAACUUGAAAAAUAUUUUAUUAACCAAAAUUGUCCAAGAAAAAUUAUCUUUUGAUUAACCCAAAGCAUCCAAGCUGAAUACAAUCCAGGGUUUGGGAUGUGUGUCUCCUUCACUAGAGGAGAGUCAGGCUUCUGUCUUGAAAUGUAGAGUAAUAGCUCAUACUGCUGGCACAGGCCUCCUGAAGGUACAUUUCCCACCCUCACAAUCUUGGUGUUUUCAGUGUCUUUAUUUUCUGGAACAUACUUGAGAUGGUAAUUCUUUCACAUACCGUAAGUGUAGCUAGACAGAGACAAGCUCCUUCUUGUAGUUAUUACUAUUUACUGAGCAUGAACCAUAUGUCAGCUAUAUUAUUACUAGCUAACAUGUAUUCAGGCUUCCCUGCUGGCUCAGUGGUAAAGAAUUUGUCUACAGAGCAGAUGUGGGUUCGAUCCCCAGGUUGGGAAGAUCCUCUAGAGGAGGAGAUGGCAACCCACUCCAGUAUUCUUGCCUGGGAAACCCCAUGGACAGAGGAGCCUGGUGGGCUUCAGUCCAUGGUGUGGCAAAAGUCGGACACUACUUAGUGACCAAACAGCAACAUUUAUUCAGUACUUGGCAUAUAUUGGGCAUUAUUUUAAACUAUAUAUAUAUUGUAAUUAUUUGAUCUUGGAAAUAUCUUACUGCAUUUGACACCAGCAUAACUUCAUUUUACAAAUGAGGAAAGUGAGGCACAAGUUAUCUUGAUUGAGAACAUAGAAAUUGGCAGAGUAGAACUGGAACUCAGGCGUCUGACUUCAGACCUUGUUCUUUAACUUCCGUGCUGUACUGACCUGAGUACACAUGAGUGCAUACUUAUGAGGCCUGUGGGCCACAUUCUCUGGAGGACAAAUUCUUUUUGAGAAGAAUAACAGUUUAUAAAGCUACAAGUUGUGUGUGUCUGUCUAGAAACCCAUGCCAUAUUAAAUGAUCAUGGAGAAGUUUAGACGUUCAACAUCAAAGAACCAAGGUUUCUAUUGAAUAUGGUGACCUUUGUUUCACCUUUAAAGGUGAACAUAUUUUGUAAAAACUGAUAUUCAAAAAGAUCAUGCUUAGGAAUAUUGAGAAAGAAUUUAAUAUAAUUGUAAAAGGUCUUAUUACUUCACUAGGAAUUCAUAUUUUGCAAAGAGAUUACCAGAAAUAAUGUAUUAAGAAUCAGCCUUACUCAGAAAUUUGGUAUUACAGAGUUUGUAAGGAACACCUACUUAGGUAUAAGUAGACCACUUAUAAAUCUCUAUAUAAAAAGAGAUUUCUAAAAAAAAUAAAAAUUAAAAGAGAUUUCUCUUAACAGGAGGUAUUGGGGGUUUAAAAGUAUUUGUAGCCACUUUCAUUUAAAUAUAUCUAUGUGCCAUUAUUUACAUCAGUUAACAAGUGAAUGAGCCUUUUAAAUGAGAGGUUUUAAUUCUUAAUGCUCAUGGUGAGUUUUAAAAAGUUCAUUAAAGCUGAAGGAACAUUCAUUGGGCAACAGUUACCAGGCCUUUUGCUAGAUGCCAAGGCUUUAAAAACAGUUUAGGAAUAAUUAUUACUUUUAAGGUCUGCUUAACUGUGAGCUGCAGACCAGAAGACUUCUUUAUUCUUUUGAGUAAAAAGGUUAGGGCGAUACCGCUAGACAGGUAUUUGGCUUUGAGGGUCAAAUAGGAGUUUUCCAGGCAGACAAAAUAGAGUGAAGGGGGUGAAUGGUCUCAGGCCGAGGAAAAGUCAGGUACAGGGACACUGAGAGAAGCAGCAGCGUGACAUGUUCAGCAGGCCUUAAAUAGAGAAUCAGUUACAGUGUAAAGACCACAGGCUUAGGCACAAGUUUUAAAAACUAGUCCUGGUUUUACCAACUUUAAAAAGACAAACUCAGAUACUUUGGUUUCUGCUUUGAGGAUUAAAAAUAAUGCAUGUAAAUUGUUCAGUACAGAACAAUUUAAUGACAUAGGGUUUUGCACCGAUAGUAUCAAUUAUUUUUUCAUUUGUCUUUUGAUUUAUUGUUUUGGACAAUAAAUUUGCAUGGUUCAUAACCCCAGAAAGUAGAAAAAGCUCCCAUCUUUGUGCCUUGUCAAGUUCCUCCUUUUCAACCCCCACAGGAAGCCACUGUUCUUCAUUUCUUAUGUAUCCUUCCAUUGUCCCUUCAAGUUGCAGGGAAAUGUGAAUACCGUUUCAGGACUUGCAGCUUUUACACAAAAGGUAGUGUAUUACACAUGUUGUGUAGUACUGUCCUCUUUGUUUUCACUUAGCCAUACAUCUUAAUGGUCUUUCAUAUCAAUUUAUAGGGAGUUUCCUCGCCCUUUUUAAAAAGUGCUGCUAUAUUUUGAUACAGCUUGACUCAAGAAAUGGCACUAACAGUAUAGAGUUCCCACGUGCUCUUUACCCAGCUUCCCCUAUGAUGUUCUUAUAUAACGGUGGUUCAUCGUCAAAACCUGGAAACUGACGUUGGUACAAUGCUGUUAACUCAGAUAGUGA